GCCCUAUAUCUAAACUUCUCCACUGGCUAACGAUUUUGAACUGCCUUCCUAGUUUUAGACACAAAUACCGUACACAAUAGCACUAUCUAUUAGUUAGUUUUCAGUUGGUUGACAAAAUAACAAGCGAGCCAUUUAAACCAUUGAAACACGUGGGCACAAACUAGACAACAAUAUUCAAAUAAAAACAGUUUCAUACUUGCAUAGAAACGCCUUCAACUUUACAUACAGCACAGAAAUUAUCUGUAACCGUCAAAUAUAUAGGAACUCCAAUGAAAAACCCUUGUGCAAAUGUUUUUAAACCAAGGAAUAAUCGCUCACUUGCUCUCAUGUUUAUAUUUUGGCAGAAAUUGUUACGCAAUAAUUUUAAAUAUGAGCCUGCAUUUCAGGUACUUUACGGGAUACUUCAUGUAAAUACAGUACAAACUUCAAUAGGAUUUUAAAACAUUAAUCCAUUAAUCCUG